ACAUGUCUACCAAUAUGUAACUUUAGAGACGGUCUCUUAAUUUGCGCAUAACUGCGAAUAUCGAACGUCCAACGUCAAGCCAACUUUAUGCCAGUCCGCUAGGUUCAAUCCCACCACUAGGGGGCCGCCCCAUAGUAACAUUUUACAAUAGUAUCGGCAAUCUAUUGCUCUUCCUGUGAGACCCGGAUGUGAAGACCCGGAUUUUAAGACCUGAAUUUUUGCAGCCUGAAUUUGUGAGGUUGAAAAAUAUUGUGUUGAUAUAUUACCUGACGAAUAAUGAAGAAUUGUAUUUCAACAGCUGAUUUUUGUGGAACCAUAUUUUAGGAAGAAACCUGGAAAUGUAUCUGAAAAUCCCAGUAAAUCAGCAGUUUCUGAAAUACUCAUACCAGCCCAUCUGACAUCAACAACCCUGGUCAAAGUUACUGAAAUCACAUUAAUUAGCAUCCUCACCUGAGAUAGCACAUCAUGCUGAGUGUGGACUGGAAGAUCCUCACUUCCUCUCUCCCCACACCCUUCUCUAUCUCUGUAUUGAGAUCACCUUAAAAAUGAGCAUCUCCAUCGGAAAUAGCACAUCAUGCUGAAUGGAGACUAGGAGAUCGUUACAUUGUUUCCUUCUUCAUCUCCUCACACCCUUCUCUCUCUGUAUCAACAUCAUCUUAAAUACACCCAAGGUCUAUAUGCAUUACAUAACAUGUUUUGAUGUGAAUAAGUUGUUGACAAUACUGGUUUGCUAUAUAAUACAAAAGGUCUUAGUGCAUCUGGAAAAUAUGGUCUCAUUCUCUCAACAGCAGUUCAAAUAAAAAUAUUGCAUGCCGGUAAAGGCAUAUCCUCCCAGGGUCCCUCACUCAAAUUACCUCCUGUAUGUAAAUAAGGUACAUCCUUCCACAAACACCAAGUUAUAAUCACAAACAAAACCAUUUGGUGGACUCACAGAGAAGCUGGGUAUUUAGGGGAGAGCUGGCCAAAUAUUCGGGGAAUCUGUAGAUAGAUCUACAAGAUCAUUAUGUGUAGUUUUUCUAUACCAGGUAUGCAAGUUUUGACUUUCUAAUGUUGUAUUAUUAUGUCUUGAAUUUGGUUGGAAUGUAAUGCUGAAUGUAAUUCUUUCUUCUUAUUAUAAGUAGUAGUAUUUGAUUUGAAUGUUUUCAUACCAGGUUAAAUAGAUUACUAGACUGGAUUAUAUUCUGAAUCAUUCUGUAAUUAUUGUCUCUAGUAGAUUACGUUAAGUCCUUGUUACCACAAAUCUGCAACCAGGUUAGUACAGGCUAAAAUCCAGGUUUAGGUGGAGCAUUGGGGCACUCCAGCUGAGAUUUUAGAGUCCAGGCUAACAACUUGGCGUUAAGUGAAGUGUACUUAGUGUGUAAAGGCUCGAUACGAAUUUCCGUUUAGGACAACUUAAAGUUGAUCGACCCAGUCUAAAUAGAGUGAAGUCUAAACCUCUGGUUAUUGUAAUAUUUUCUUUUUAAGUGUACAUAGGAAACUAUUGCAUGAUUAUAUAAAGCUAAUCUUAACUCAGAUAUCAUUGGUCUAUUUCUAUUGGUCUAUAAAUUUUAGUGGUCAUGGUCAUGGUGUUACUAUCUAAGGGGACUAAACAAAGUACUUUUUAGAAAAGGGCAAGCAUGGGUGGCCAUCUAAAUACCAUUAGUCAAUUACCUCCGCCUAAUGACCAAGACUGGCAAGUUUGUGACCGUGAGAUCCGCGUACACGGCCGGCAAGAGACUCUGAGGGAUAUGGAAUCCGAAUGAACAAGCACUAAUUAAAGUAUAGAAUAAACUAGAAUGAAUCAAAUGUAAAAGUAUCAAAAUACAAAUAACUAGGAAACAUAUACAACAUUGAGGUUUUUACACUUGGAGUCAGGUUUAAUUUAAGAGAGAGUCAAACAGAAUUGGAAUGACAAAUUUAAUAAUCUAUAUGUAUUCACCUCGCUUUGAAAAGACAGAAACACAUGGGAAUCCUCCUACCACGUCAUCGGAUACCGUCGUUGGACUAGUGAGUGGACCCUUACAACAUAUUUUUCCAAAUUCUAAUGUUUGACGAACAUUAACCGAAGCUCUUGACCUGUAUCUGCAUGAUUUUAUUCAUUGUGAACAAAUGACUGUCUGAUUGGAUAAUUACAAUAACAAGCAGGGAUACAGGUAUUCCUAUUUAAGUGGCUUGUGACUGUGUAUAUGAUUAUAUAAACAUUUGAACUGUGUAGGAACUUUUGACAAGCUCAGCUCAGUGCAGACUCGCACAGUAACUGACUAUGGAACGUGUCAUUCUAACUCUGAAUCAGUAGCUUACAUUUGUCCUCAUUAUUCCCUGGCUAUAGAAGGCGUGCAGGAUAGGGUUAAUAUGCUCCGUGCUACAGAUGAACAAAACACAGUUUCUGUGAGUCAUACUGACAUGACUUAUGCAAUGCCCAUAUAGAAAGAGGAACCUUUUUGGACUCAUGGAGCCACAGUGCUAAUAGUACCAGAUCGUGGGAUGCGAAAAUAUGCUACUAUGUGAAUGUGUGUGCGCUGUGGUUGUCAGCCAACAUAUACACAGCAUGUAGCAUAGAACAUGAGCGUUUUACUCAUUCCUCAGAAGUGUUUUUAGCACACAACUCAGCUUGUCCUAAAGCCUAAAAUCCAUCUGAUUCCAAUCAAACAUUUCAUCCCACCGCUCCCUAUAGUGGCGAAUUUUUUUGUUUUGUGUUUAUAAAGCACUGACAAUUCAUUUUUUGUAACAAUUGUAUUGAAUUAUUCUUUAAUUUAAAGCAAGCUAUACAUGAAAUGAUAGAUUAUGUACAUAAUCUAUGUGAAAGGUGACAUUGUUAACAUGACCAGGAUUCAUUUACUUCAAGCAUGCACCUGAGAAGGAAGAUAAUCAGAAAUUAAAUAAAUCAAGUAUUCUUACUCUUUAAAUGAUCUAUUAUUCACAUUUUAUUAUGAUUGAACUGCCACUUUUAAAUCACCUGCACAGGCGAUAGAAACAUGAAUGUGACAAUUGUGACCUUUUUGUGAACAACCAAUGUAAACACAUGUGGUUGACUUUUGAUAAUUGUUCUUCCUGUAAAAUUGUAAAACAAAUAUUAUGUUUUUAUUAUUUUGCUCCACUAUUGUUUAU